rnacentral:rRNA from 1 species
AUUGAACGCUGGCGGCAGGCCUAACACAUGCAAGUCGAGCGGCAGCGGAAAGUAGCUUGCUACUUUGCCGGCGAGCGGCGGACGGGUGAGUAAUGUCUGGGAAACUGCCUGAUGGAGGGGGAUAACUACUGGAAACGGUAGCUAAUACCGCAUAACGUCGCAAGACCAAAGAGGGGGACCUUCGGGCCUCUUGCCAUCAGAUGUGCCCAGAUGGGAUUAGCUAGUAGGUGGGGUAACGGCUCACCUAGGCGACAAUCCCUAGCUGGUCUGAGAGGAUGACCAGCCACAAUGGAACUGAGACACGGUCCAGACUCCUACGGGAGGCAGCAGUGGGGAAUAUUGCACAAUGGGCGCAAGCCUGAUGCAGCCAUGCCGCGUGUAUGAAGAAGGCCUUCGGGUUGUAAAGUACUUUCAGCGGGGAGGAGGGUGUUGAGGUUAAUAACCUCAGCAAUUGACGUUACCCGCAGAAGAAGCACCGGCUAACUCCGUGCCAGCCGCCGCGGUAAGAC